GAGAUGUGAUGAUUUAAUUAUUUGGUCCGUGUUUCUGAACUAACCCUGACUGAUAAACAUUUCCAAACUUCUGAUCUC